AGUUUGCGUCAGAGGUACCGUAGCGACAACUUCUUCUGCUUCUACUGCGGAAAGUGUGCGGUCUGCGUAAGAUAUACAGCUCCCAAGAAAGAUGUAUAUAUAGAAGCAAUCGUAAAAUUCUUGAGUGUCUUGAACUUGGAAUUGCCUCCCAAUUCCGCUGUUAGCAUGGAUGGCGUGAAGGUAGGAGUUCUGGCAGGGCUGAUGUUCUUCUUGUACUGCGUGACCAGCUCCUCCAACGCGAAGAAAAGCUCAGGUCGCGCCAAAUUGGUGAUACCCAUACCCAUGGAAAAGAGUACUAGCACCUACGCCGAGGAAUGCAGGCACGAAAGAUGCAUGCAAGACUGCUACGACAAAGCAAAAGACGCAUAUGACGUUAGAGGGAACUGCUACAAUUUGACAUGUGUAUGCGAAUACAGACCGCCAUGCACUCUGAGGGCGUGCUACCGUUUGUGUAAGAGAGCACAAGCAGGCAGGGACCGGCUCGGCCUCCGUGGGAUAUGCGUUAGAUCAGACUGCAAUUGCGACUGGGACGACAAAUGCGAGAGAAGGCAGUGCCAUGAAUCCUGCAAAAAGAAAUUCAACUGGCAUUACUAUUCCCGUUUCGUUGUCCGUUCACGAUGCGUCAACGAGGUGUGCGUGUGCAACACUUCACCCCGGAGGGUUCGCGGCCGUUAACGUUGUGAUUGAGUGAGAGCACUAAGUAUAGCUCACCUACGUGUCUGACAAAUAAACCGCCUAUGAGCUAAA